rnacentral:lncRNA from 1 species
GGGGGAGGAGAGUAGGGGAUGGGAGUGGCAUCUCCUCUUUCUUUUCAGGGAGUAGGGGAGAGCCGUGCUGGUGGCAAACAGAAGUUCCAGGGCCAGGGAUCAAACCCCCGCCACAGCAGGGACAAUGCCAAUCUUUAACCUGACGAGCCACCAGGGAAUUCCCAGAGGCUCCUCUAAAGUCCUGUUGGGUCAUCUGAAAAAGAAUGCAGUUAAGGACGGCAGCGUUCAGGGUCACUCUUUGGUUUCUAAGAUUUAAUUUUCUCAAAUUGUUCAACAGCACACAGAUCUCUCAAUAUGUAAGGUCUGGUGAGAAAUAGGGUUCCAUGGGUCCCUCUGUUUGGGAAACAUCGUGUUGAAUGGUGUUAAGGAAGGUUAUCAGCCACUUUACUAUCCUACUGUCAUUUGUGAAGCUCUUUGAGACAAAGUAUUGGAUUCCCAACUCAUUUACGAGGGAAACAUGAGUGUGUGUGUGUGUGUGUGUGUGUGUGUGUGUGUGUAGUACCUAUUAAAAUAAAGCAAAGCUCGAUUUGUGUAGAGCUCAGUUUGGGAAUGAAGAACAAAGGGUCAACAAUAAUACAUUGAACCAGAGAGUUGGUCAAAAUUAAGCUAUUAAAAUGAAUUUCAUGAUGUAUGUUCCAUUUUUUUUUCUUAUAGUCACAGAAAAUAGAACAUUAACGACGUCUGCUGUGUUGUAUCUCCAAGCAGGGAAACAACUCAUUGGUCAGAACUACUUGCCUGGUUCAACCACAGGGCUCUGUGGGGGACAGGGCAGUGAAAAGGACCUUUCACAGAGAUUACUCAUAAGAAACAAGGCUAAGUCUCCCCAGAGGAAAACUACAAGGGUCCUACCGCCGGGGUAGUGACGAGCACAUGCACGCGUGAGUCUGGUUGCUCUCAUCUUUGAAUUCUCUGCUGAAAUAGCACGUCCUCACAGGGAACUUGCCCAACCACCCUCUUCAAAGCAGAAGCCCCAGGUUCAUUUCUGACCUAGCAUCCCAUUUAUUUUCUUCAGAACAUGUGCUAUAAUAUGUAAAUAGCUUCUUUAUUGUUCACUGUUAAAUUUUUCUAUCUAGAAUGAAAUGUGUUUAUUGCAGGAAAAUGGAAUCUUGUAAGAACGGUUUGUCCAGAUCACUUCGGGAUCCCCAGCACCUGGCACGUGGUGGCACCCACUAGCUUCUCAAUGAAAGCUUGUUCAAUAAAUGAAUGACCCCCACUAUUGGUGAGAGUGUC